AGCAGCCGCGGUAAUUCCAGCUCCAAUAGCGUAUAUUAAAGUUGUUGCAGUUAAAAAGCUCGUAGUUGAAUUUUAGGCCUGACCGGACGGUCCGUCUCUGGCGAGUACUGUUCUGCUGUCGGGUCUAUCCUUCUGGUGAGCCGGUAUGCCCUUUAUUGGGUGUGUCGGGGAACCAGGACCAUUACCUUGAAAAAAUUAGAGUGUUUAAAGCGGGCUUUUGCUUGAAUAGAUUAGCAUGGAAUAAUAGAAUAGGACGUUGGUUCUAUUUUGUUGGUCUAGGACCACCGUAAUGAUUAAUAGGGAUAGUUGGGGGCAUUAGUAUUCAAUUGUCAGAGGUGAAAUUCUUGGAUUUAUUGAAGACUAACUACUGCGAAAGCAUUUGCCAAGGAUGUUUUCAUUAAUCAAGAACGAAAGUUAGGGGAUCGAAGACGAUCAGAUACCGUCGUAGUC
rnacentral:rRNA from 1 species